ensembl:lncRNA
CUAGACUGUAUGCCUGUUGUUUGCCUGCUACUCACAUGAGAACUGCACAAUUGAAAUAGGUGAAAGGAUCAUGUGUUUUUCCUAAAGCCAAUUAGAUUCACUAACAAACACGUAACGAUGAUGGAUAUUUAACACUUGAGGAUGGAGAUGUUUAGUCUGAAAGGGCCUUUUACAACACGUAAUAACUAAGCCUGUAUCUACAGGACCCCAGAUUUAUAGCAGAUUAUGAAUGAGCAGGAGAUGGUUAUUAGCUGUUCUGUUUGUCACGCUGCAGAUCAUUCACUUUAAAGGGCCUGUCAGGACAUGGUGAACGACAGCAGAUUCUGAGGAUGUUUAAAGUCCCUGUGAUCUGAAGCCAUGUUUGGAUGCAAACAUGUUUAGAUCUGUUGGCCAAGAUAAGUUUGAGCUCUGCACAGCCAGACCUUUUUAUGGAGUUGUGAAAACAAGUUGCAUGAUUUUUUUUUUUUUAAACCGUGAAAUAGGCUACAACCAUCCUCCUGACGUCUGGAUUUAUGGCCUGGUAAUUCCCCUCUGGAGUAAUUUGGCUGGUACAUCUGCAGCUUAGCCGCAUUCCAGCAGAGCUCUCCUGUGCUGUGAAGUCAGGAGAUGACUGAUUGAUUGAUUGUAUUACUCCAGUUUUAGCAUGGCUUUGCAGAGCUAUAGCAGUGAAGUUCUAAUGUGAUCUAUCCAGCGAGCAGCCUGCCUGCUUUUGGGUUAGCCUGCUGUGACGAUCGCAAAUCAUGGUUAGAAAGUGAACUUUGCAAAAUACCACACAGUAAUAACAGGAAACUGAUAGACACUGUUUCAGAUUAAAAGAUGUUUAACUUAAUUCCAAGCAGAAUUAUAUGUAAGAUUUAAUGGUUACAAAUUAUAAACACAACAACUGAAUGCAACACAGCGUUUAUGGUGUGUUUUCCCUGGUAACAACACGAAAAUUCAAUUAUCAAGUUCCUCAUCACUGACUUGAUGCUUCCACAUGUUAUUUUGGAUGCCAACUGCAGGCUAAAAAU